rnacentral:rRNA from 1 species
GGCGCCCACCGGACCCAAAUUGGCGCCCACCGGACCCAAUUGACUGAAUUUUUUGAUCUUUACUUUGGAGAUGCUGCUGUCAUAUGCAGCAACAUUGGUCGCAACUAUCUGAAGAGUGCCUACCGGUUUGUCAUUGAUACAUUCAAUCGAGGGUAUUGCUGGCAUGGAUCAUUUUCUGUACGCAAUUUCCUGGUCGCUGGUGAAUUAUUUAUGAUGGGCAUACCUGCACUCCACAAGACUCUUGGUUUUCAUGACCUCCUUAUUGAUCUUAGAGCCUUGAGCAAUGCUUUGCUGCCAUACUACUGUGAAGGAAACCAACCUGGAAACGUGCCUGCACUAUUCACAGACCAUCUUCAUUAUAUUACCACUAAUGUCCCAUUAGGAAUUGGACCAUCAAUUGUGUUCCAAUCUAGGUUCAUUCGUCUGAUAUACCAUCACUUCUCGUUCUCAUUGCCGGAUCAUACGUAUUCGCUGUUUUCAGCACUUGCAACAGCAAAAAAUCAUCUUGGGCAGGAUGACAUACGCGCAUUUAAUAUUCUCCUUCGACAAGCUUGGAAUGAUUUACUGAUGGACCAGAUUGCAGUAGUUGGUCAAAAUUGGCCUGAUCAAGCCGAACAAAUCCGAUCUUUUAUGAAAUUAUGUGGUGGCAGAGCAGGCAGGCAGGGGUGGUACCUCCAAGGAGAGGAUAUACAGGUACACCUGAGUCAUUAUACAAUUUUGGAAGAAACAACAGAGUUCAUGCACCUGAAAAAACAAAG